GUUAUACGUUAUACCGUAAUACCAUAUAACGUUAUACGUUAUAACGUAAUACCACAUGACGUUAUACGUUAUAACGUAAUACUAUAUAACGUUAUACGUUAUAACGUAAUACUAUAUAACGUUAUACGUUAUAACGUAAUACUACAUAACGUUAUACGUUAUAACGUAAUAGUAUAUAACGUUAUACGUUAUAACGUUUCAC
rnacentral:misc_RNA from 1 species